UACGUAGGGGGCUAGCGUUGUCCGGAUUUAUUGGGCGUAAAGAGCUCGUAGGCGGCUUGUUGCGUCGUCCGUGAAAACCUGGGGCUCAACCCCAGGCUUGCGGUCGAUACGGGCAGUCUCGAGUUCGGUAGGGGAGACUGGAAUUCCUGGUGUAGCGGUGAAAUGCGCAGAUAUCAGGAGGAACACCAGUGGCGAAGGCGGGUCUCUGGGAAGUAACUGACGCUGAGAAGCGAAAGCAUGGGUAGCAAACAGG
rnacentral:rRNA from 1 species